AAAUGUGAGGGCAAUUUGGCUGCACCAUGUCACCCCAUUGACUGCCAGAGUUGAUUCGGCUUAUCUGGCUGGCUAGGGGGGGUAUCCCUUUCCUCCUUCACCACUCCAUUAUAUAUCACUCCUGAAAGCUGUGCACUUGGUCAAAGAGGAUAACCUUCCCCAAACAGAGGAAGACCAGUCUUUGGUCGAGGGUAUAUGAAUACACCGCAGCUAGAAACUAGAAACAAGGUCUCAAUAAUAAUGACAUAUGAGGUAUAUGGCUAUAAUGUUUAAUUAGAAGGAGACAAGGAAAGUUAAUAUAAAUU
rnacentral:snRNA from 1 species